GCAUCUGCCUGCACACCCCGCCAUGACGACAAUGGACUGAACCUCUGAAACUUUUUCUGGCCACACUGCUUCUUCUUCGGGUCCAGUUGAGCUCCUGGCUAGCUAUGUGUCAAGUGAUCCCUGUGAUUCUGUCUUAGAAACACCUUGGAGUGUCUGACCAGCAGGAAAUAGUUUGCAGCAGCUGUGAUACAGGAACUCAGAUAAUGGGAAAAAACUCUCCAAUAUAUCAAAAAGAAUGGCAGGAAGGAGGAAGAGGAUGGCUGCUAUUACUGAAAUACCAAAGGAGCAGGAGGACAAGAAGAUGGUCACUGCCUUGCUUGAGAAGGAGCCUGAGGCUCUUGGUACUUUCAAGAUAGCCAGUUCAUAAAGGGCUUUAUCUGCUUUGGACUUCAUUACAUCCAGCAAUCCAUGGAUAAGGGCUGCCCUCCACAGCACUGAAAGUGCCUCCUGUGGCUACCUAGUUCACCAGGCCUUGAACCAACAGCUACCCACCGACUUAAGAUGGCCCAAAGAUAGGGACCAAGGGGGAUAAGAGCAAAGGCAAGACUUGGUUGAUUACUGGGGACUGCACAAGUGUGAAUCCCCAUACUGGCUGUUUCACCCUGUGUCUUUUGGAGUUCCCAGAAGUGUUAUCAAAGAGAAGGUAGACAGUGAUGUUGAGCAUAAAGGAAGACAUGCACCAUCAUUGGUUAUACACAGUUAAUUCAGAGAAGCAGGAAGCUGGCAGAAGCUCCCAGGGCCAACUGCAAUGAUCGAUGAUGAGAUUGCUAUCAAUGGACAGGCUACAUCUCAGGGAUAAGAUCUGUGGCCAGCUAGAAAAACCACAUUGCCAAACUAGAAAAUAACCCAUUACUAAACUAGGUCUCAUGUA